UGGGGAAUCUUGGACAAUGGGCGCAAGCCUGAUCCAGCCAUGCCGCGUGAGUGAUGAAGGCCUUAGGGUUGUAAAGCUCUGUCAGGAGGAAAGAAAAGUCGGCCGGAUAAUACUCGGUCGACCUGACGGUACCUCCAAAGGAAGCACCGGCUAACUCCGUGCCAGCAGCCGCGGUAAUACGGAGGGUGCAAGCGUUGUUCGGAAUUACUGGGCGUAAAGCGCGUGUAGGUGGUCGAGUAAGUCGAAUGUGAAAGCCCCGGGCUCAACCCGGGAAGUGCAUCCGAAACUGCUCGACUAGAGUCCCGGAGAGGAAGGCAGAAUUCCCAAUGUAGGGGUGAAAUCCGUAGAUAUUGGGAGGAAUACCGGUGGCGAAGGCGGCCUUCUGGACGGUGACUGACACUCAGACGCGAAAGCGUGGGGAGCAAACAGGAUUAGAUACCCCAGUAGUCCCUGAGCGGGCUGGCAAGGCG
rnacentral:rRNA from 1 species